AGGUGUCUUCUGCUUUGCGGCAUCUAACCUCCCUCGAGAAGCUUGUCUUCUUGGCUUGUGAGGAGCUUGAUUUAACUGAUUCAAAGGAUCAUAGUGAUAUGCGGUGGCAGUACCUUAGAAGCCUCCGGGAGCUUCAAUUGAUAAAUUUGAACAAAUUGGCGUCCCUCCCAAAGGGACUUAAACAUGUUCCCACUCUGCGCAAACUCUUAAUCAAAAGUUGUCCUAAAUUGCAGUCAUUACCAGGGUGGAUGGAAAGCCUCACCAAAUUACAAUAUUUAUGGAUUAAAUUAUGUCCUCUGCUAUCAGAAAGAUGCAAAAGCAACAUUUGUGCUGAUUGGGCCAAAAUUGCUCACAUCCCAAAUAUUAGUGUUGACGAUAGAUGGAUUCAAGUGGAUGGCUGCUACAAACUAUGAUCAGAAGAAUCAGAUCGACUUCUCUUAGUAUAGCUUGCAAUAUUCUUGCUUAAAUCUCAGAGCAGUUGUUCAUAGAUGUUAAAGAAUUGGUGUAUAACCAUGGCAAUUGGUGGAUGUACUUGCUACCGCUUCUGAACUUUAGGAUGGGGAUUCAUUGAGUAGCUUCAUACAUGAAAUUUUGAUGAAGGGCAUUGUCAUUGAUUAACUUCUCUUUACAUUCCUUUUUAGUUUUAACUGGAGUUGCCACUAUGAAGAAGUCCAACAAUCCCUUGUAGCUGGAAAAAUGGUGUUUUUGAAGGACUGAAGAGAAUUUUUCCAUUUAGGAGUGUCUUCUACAGCCAAAGAUGUCAAAAAUAGGUUUUCAAGCUGAAUUAUGCAUUGACCAAACUGUGCAUAACUUGCCGCAUAAGCUAUGCAGAUCUGCAUAAGGAGAAAGAUCACUGUUCCAGAACCAGCCGAAAUGUGCAUAAGGAGACAGCAUAGCUUAUGCACAUUCUCACCUCCCUUAUGCACCUUCACGGAAUUGUGCAUAACCUAUGCACCAAGUCAUGCAGUUUCGCAUAAGUGACUCAG